rnacentral:rRNA from 1 species
GACGAACGCUGGCGGCGUGCUUAACACAUGCAAGUCGAACGGAAAGGCCCUGCUUUUGUGGGGUGCUCGAGUGGCGAACGGGUGAGUAACACGUGAGUAACCUGCCCUUGACUUUGGGAUAACUUCAGGAAACUGGGGCUAAUACCGGAUAGGAGCUCCUGCUGCAUGGUGGGGGUUGGAAAGUUUCGGCGGUUGGGGAUGGACUCGCGGCUUAUCAGCUUGUUGGUGGGGUAGUGGCUUACCAAGGCAUUGACGGGUAGCCGGCCUGAGAGGGUGACCGGCCACAUUGGGCCUGAGAUACGGCCCAGACUCCUACGGGAGGCAGCAGUGGGGAAUAUUGCACAAUGGGCGGAAGCCUGAUGCAGCAACGCCGCGUGCGGGAUGACGGCCUUCGGGUUGUAAACCGCUUUCGCCUGUGACGAAGCGUGAGUGACGGUAAUGGGUAAAGAAGCACCGGCUAACUCCGUG